UUGGUUAAGCUAAUAAGUGCGCACGGAGGAUGCCUAGGCGCCAGGAGCCGAAGAAGGACGCGACGAACAGCGAUAUGCUUCGGGGAGCUGUAAGUGAGCUUUGAUCCGGAGAUUUCCGAAUGGGGAAACCCAGCUACCGUAAUGGGUAGUUACCCUCGAGUGAAUACAUAGCUCGUUGGAGGCACACCAGGGGAACUGAAACAUCUAAGUACCCUGAGGAAAAGAAAACAAAAGUGAUUCCGUCAGUAGCGGCGAGCGAAAGCGGAGAAGCCC
rnacentral:rRNA from 1 species